AUACGUAGGGGGCUAGCGUUGUCCGGAAUUACUGGGCGUAAAGGGUGAGUAGGUGGUCAUUAAAGUCAGAUGUAAAAGGCAAUGGCUUAACCAUUGUAAGCAUAUGAAACUUAAUGACUUGAGUGCAGGAGAGGUAAAUGGAAUUCCUAGUGUAGCGGCGAAAUGCGUAGAUAUUAGGAAGAACACCAGUGGCGAAGGCGAUUUACUGGACUGCAACUGACACUGAGUCACGAAAGCGUGGGGAGCGAACAGGAUUAGAUACCCUGGUAGUCCACGCUGUAAACGAUGAGUGCUAGGUGUCGGCAAGAGAUUGUCGGUGCCGCAGUUAACGCAUUAAGCACUCCGCCUGGGGAGUACGAUCGCAAGAUUGAA
rnacentral:rRNA from 1 species